UCUCACCUGCUAUGCAUCAGCUAUAAGGACUUUGGCCACAUCUCUUCCAAAUGUCCUAACCGAGCCUUAGUCAUAGAAGAACGAAAGGAUGUAAUAGAAGAGUCGUUAGAAGAUCUAGUCUAUGAGUAUAAACUUGAAGAUUUUGAUGACUUGGAUGAUAGUGAGGACACUUCCUUAAGUGGAAUCCCGACCCUUCCCGAGACUUUAGAAACUAUACACCUUGUUUCCGACAACUCUUGAUCACAUGUUAUAUAUCAUACCCUUACCCAACUCAAAGAGUUUGAUGAUUUCACUAGUCACCCUUGGAGAAUCCAGUCGCCUGUUCUUAGCACUAAAUCGAAAUUCUCCACUACUGACCAACCUCAAACUAAUGGUCAAAACGAAAUUGCUAACCGAAGUCUUGGCAAUUUAUUACAGUCUCUAGUGUAGAAAAAUCUUGAGGAUUGGGACUCGAUCCCCCC
rnacentral:lncRNA from 1 species